rnacentral:rRNA from 1 species
AGCGAACGCUGGCGGCAUGCCUAACACAUGCAAGUCUGACGGGCUGGUCUUUCGGGGCCGGUCAGUGGCGGACGGGUGAGGAGCGCGUAGGGACGCAUCCAAGGGUGGGGGACAACCGCGGGAAACUGCGGCUAAUACCGCACGGGGCCUGAGGGCCAAAGGCCGGGAGACCGGCCGCCCCUGGAGCGGCCUGCGUCCGAUUAGCUGGUUGGGGGGGUAACGGCCCACCAAGGCGAUGAUCGGUAGCUGGUCUGAGAGGAUGAUCAGCCACACUGGG